CCCACAGAUGGCGCUCAGUUCGAGUGUCUCUUUCUUAAUGGAGGCCUUUAUUCCCUCCUUUGCCUUCGCUUGAUGCCCAUUUACCCUCGCGGGGGAUAUUUUGAAGUGGUUUCAUCGUCAAGGAUAAAGUUGGCAUCUGUGCUUAUGCUCAGCAUGUCCACACCUGGGAGUUCAUCUGGGAGCCACACAUGUGUUUUCUGCAGCCAGGCAUUUACUUGCAAGACAGACCUCCAGACCCACUUUAGACGACAUGCCAAUGGGGAAAUUGACAUUAAGGGUCGACCAAAAAUGCAACAGAAAGCAGAGGAGAAAUGUACCCUUGAAGAAGAGGAAAAGGUUGAGAAGGAAGAUGUGAUUAGAAAGUCACCAGAUGAAGCUGUUGGAAAGAAGACAGAUGGCUCUGUGUGUGAUGUUUGUGGAGAAGUUUUUCGGACGGUAUCCCUGGCAAUUUCUCACAAGUUCCGCAAGCACCCUGAAUCAGUUAUUAAACACUAUUGUCCUCACUGUGGCAUGAUGUUCCCAAUUAAGAUUAAUCGUGACAAGCACUUGCUGACUCAUACAGGCAUGGCACCCAAGCAGCUUUUCCCAUGCUUAACGUGUGGAGUUGCCUUCUACAACUUCAGAGCCAGGAAGUUCCACAUGGACUCAGCACACAAGGGAGCAAUCCGCAUGGUGAAUCCAAUAAAAACCCCAGCCCCAAGCUUAAAGAUAGUCCUAAACAAUGCUGGUGAAGCACACAGUGUGUACUACUGCCACCUUUGCGGAUGUGAGUAUCAAGUCAAGUACAAUCUACAAAAGCACUUAGCAACUAGGCAUACAGAAGAGGAGAGAGAUGCUGUACCUGAAGAAGUAAUGCAGUGCAAUGUCUGCUCAGCUUUAUUCUACUCCAAGAGAGCAUACGAGGCACACAAUCAUCAUCAUCGUGAGAGUGACCUAUAUGCUACAAAUGAAGAAAUGAGGCAACAAGUUGUCCAGAGAAUUGACCAAGACUUUGACCAAAGGCGAGUACCCACAACAGUCGAGCGUUAUCUCUCUGCAUCUGCAAUAAGCUCCAAUCGUUCAGCCACAUGGCGCAACAUCAGGGCUGCUAAAAGGAAUCAAGAAAUAACACAAACUUCUCCAAUAUGUGAAGCAACCCAGGAGAAGAGUAUACCUCUAGUAGCUACAGAUAAUGAGAAUAGCUUAGUUCAUAAUAAACCAGAUAUCAGUACCAUGAGUAACACAAUGGACACGGAGCCUCCCAAUGUGGUUGAUUGCUUCUUACAGGAGAAUGACUCGUGCUGGGAAUCACAAGGACAGGUUAGCAGAAAAAGACUGAUUGAUGAUGGAGAAGAAGACCAGGAGAUCAGCAGACUUGGAACUGUGAACCCCGAUACAGUAAUGCCAAAUCCUGGAAUGAUACUAGGGCAAAGUAAUGAAGACCUAGAUAGUAAUAAUGAAAAGCCACAGGAGACAAAAGUAAGGGCUGAAAAGACUCAAGAGUUUGGAAGUGAUACUGAGAAGCAGGACCAAUCUGAAAUGGCAGAAGAAAAGGACACAAGUCAAAGUAAAGGAGAUAGUAAUGACAGUGAAGAGAGUGAUGGAGAUCUGGUGGUGGAGAAAAUAGUGGGAAUGCGAAAAGCUACAAAUGGCAGAGAAUUCCUAGUAAGAUGGCAGGGAUUUGAGCCAGCAGACGACACAUGGGAGAGGGAAGAGUUCUUGAGUUGUGGAAAUCUUAUAUCUGAUUUCCUCAAGAAUAGAAAGAAUGCAGCAGUCAGACUAGGAAGAGAAUACAAAUGCACAUGUAGUGAUGAUAAAAUGAGCAUCAACUAUCUGACUUAAACUGUUGGGUCUGGGUGCCUCACAAGCUCAUACAUGGACCAAAUCCCAGGCAUUAAGCUUAUUUGAGUGGUGACUUUCCUGGGGAAAGCCUGACGGGCAGGGGUUAGAGGCACCAAUAGAAUGGUAUGAAGCUCCAAAGCGGAAAAAGCGGAAAGAGCAGAAGGGCAGAGGAGGUAAAACCGAAUAGGCCACAAAAAAGAAAAACGAGGAACAUUCCACACUUUCUCAACCUUGAGAUGUGAUAUUAAUUAUUUGUUAUCUAUUUAUAUUUUAUUUAAUUGCACAUUGUCUGAUAAUGAGCAAGAUUUUCUGCAACCGCCCUGCAGCAUAUAACAUCAUUGAAACUUCUUUUGUGCACUUGAUGAAAUUUUAAGAUUCUUUAUCUUACAAAUUUUAGUGUAGGUAAUAAUUAUUAAGUACCAUGGACUGUAGAUUUUAAACUGGUGCCUGGAUUUAGAACCAGCAUCUCCGUUAGAUUUGCUCUUCUUAAGUAAAGUGGAACAAAGGAGCAUAGUCUGGCAUGCAAAUUACAAAUUUGAGAUUAAACUAUAUUUGUUAGACAAGUCUUAUUAUCUUCAUAACUGAGCAGCAGUCCAUUAAGGCAGUGGCAUUGCUAUUGAAGGACCUGUGCAUUUUAAUUCAGUGCAUCAUUUUCUCAUUCAUAAGGCUGAUGUUGAAAUAAAAGGGGGGUUAAUGAUGUGCAACAUUGAUAGAAAUCUUGCAUUUCUUAUAUUUGAAUAUCUGUAGCAUAAGAAUAUAUAUUGAUGUUCACUGCAGGUAUUGAUAGCUAUGUCACAUGUGCUUCAUAUUCAGUAGUUACAUAUCUCUAUACACUUUUAUUUUUGUAAAAGCAUUCACUGAUACAAAACAGUCUUCCGAGCAAAUAGUUAAUCAAAUUAAGUGUGAUAAACAAAAUUUAUUUAUUAAUGCCUAUUGCAGUGUUGUAGGUGAACCAGCUAUAUAAUGUCUUUGUUAAUGCAUGUAAAUAUUGUAAAAAAUGUAAGAAAUAAGAGAUGUUAUAAAAUUUCUAAAGAA